AUUGAACGCUGGCGGCAGGCCUAACACAUGCCAGUCGAGCGAGCGGCGGACGGGUGAGUAAUGUAGGGGGAUCUGCCUGCUGGCGGGGGAUAACUACUGGAAACGGUAGCUAAUACCGCAUACCAUCAGCUGAACCCAGAUGGGAUUAGCUAGGAGGUAAGGUAACGGCUUACCUAGGCGACGAUCCCUAGAUGGUCUGAGGGGAUGAUCGGCCACACUGGAACUGAGACACGGCCCAGACUCCGACGGGAGGCAGCAGUGGGGAAUAUUGCACAAUGGGCGCAAGCCUGAUGCAGCCAUGCCGCGUGUAUGAAGAAGGCCUUCGGGUUGUAAAGUACUUUCAGUCGGGAGGCGUUACCGACAGAAGAAGCACCGGCUAACUCCGUGCCAGCAGCCGCGGUAAUAC
rnacentral:rRNA from 1 species